rnacentral:piRNA from 1 species
UAGUAAUCAUGACUGUUUUCUGUGGUGU